CCUACGGGUGGCUGCAGUGAGGAAUAUUGGUCAAUGGCCGGAAGGCUGAACCAGCCAAGCCGCGUGAAGGACGAAGGUGCCAAGCAUUGUAAACUUCUUUUGUCAAGGGACAAAAUCUGGCUCGAGAGCCUGACCGAGGGUACUUGAAGAAAAAGCAUCGGCUAACUCCGUGCCAGCAGCCGCGGUAAUACGGGGGAUGCGAGCGUUAUCCGGAUUUAUUGGGUUUAAAGGGUGCGUAGGCGGGCUGUUAAGGCAGCGGUCAAAGCCCGGGGCUCAACCCCGGCGAGCCGUUGAAACUGGCAGUCGUGAGAUGGAGAGAGGUAUGCGGAAUGCGCAGUGGAGCGGUGAAAUGCUUAGAUAUUGCGCAGAACUACGAGUGCGAAGGCAGCAUACCGGCGGCGAGCUGACGCUGAGGCACGAAAGCGUGGGUAUCGAACAGGAUUAGAGACCCGGGUAGUC
rnacentral:rRNA from 1 species